CCAAAUACGACUGUCACAACGGCCAACAAUUAUUGUCGAUUAGUAUAACAAUAAAUAAUAAUAGUUAGCUAGUGACCAGUAGACUAUUGAGUAUUGACUGAAAAAAAGUGUAAUAAUGUGUAAUUCUUAUAAUAUUAUGUGAUUCUAUGUCGUACUGUCGUUAUUCGUUAAUUAUAUUCAUUAUAAGUACGAUUGUACGAAUAAGUACUUACUUCACAAUUGGAUUUAAAAACACCAAGUUAUGUCUGAUUAUAAUACUUCUAUUUGUUUAUGUGGUAAAAAGAAAUUGAAACUUAACGAAACAAAUUGGAAAAGACAUCUAACCUCUUGUAGUGUUUCAAAAUUAAAAAAAUAUAAUAUCGUGAACGAUAUUUCCAGUUUUUUUUACAAAAAAACAUGAAAUUUGUAAAGUGCAAGAUUUGCCGAUAAAAGGUAAUCCUAGUACACCAGCAACUUUUGUAAAUUUAGCUGAAUGUCCUAUUGAUUUGGAUACUAAUUUUACUAGUACAGAUAAUUCUAGUACACCUGCAAGUUUUUUAAAUUCAGCUGAAUGUCCUAUUGAUUUGGAUACUAAUUUUACUAGUACAGGCAUACUAAUUGAUAAUGACCCAGAUGGCUUCUGCAUGUUGAGUAGACUACCUCCAGCAUUCAUCGAUUUUCUUCUAAUAAAAGGUCCAGCUCAACCAACUUAUGAAGAUAUUUCUUCAAAAGAAUUUCCUAAAGAUAAAAGUGGCCGUUGUUUUCAAGUAGCUUGGUAUUGGAAAAAAUUACCAGAGAACACAAUGAUACGAAGAGAUUGGUUAAGCUACUCAAAAAUCAGAAACAAAGCGU